AGUGGAUGGGGAGCAACCUAGUUGUGCGUGUGUAAAGGUAGUGCCAAGAAAAGCGGUGAUCAUGAUGAAAAUCAAUUCCCGGUACCCGAAACCGACACAGGUGGGCAAGUAGAGAAUACUAAGGGGCGCGAGGUAACUCUCUCCAAGGAACUCGGCAAAAUGACCCCGUAACUUAGGGAGAAGGGGUGCCACCGAGAGGUGGUCGCAGUGAAGAGGCCCAGGCGACUGUUUAGCAAAAACAUAGGUCUCUGCAAACUCGAAAGAGGAGGUAUAGGGGCUGACGCCUGCCCAGUGCCGGAAGGUUAAAGAAGUUGGUCAGUCUUAGGAUGAAGCUAGCGACUGAAGCCCCGGUGAACGGCGGCCGUAACUAUAACGGUCCUAAGGUAUCGAAAUUCCUUGUCGGGUAAGUUCCGACCCGCACGAAAGGCGUAACGAUCUGGGCGCUGUCUCGGAGAGAGGCUCGGCGAAAUAGGAUUGUCUGUGAAGAUACGGACUACCUGCAUUUGGACAGAAAGACCCUAUGAAGCUUUACUAUAGCUUGGAAUUGUGUUCGGGCUUCCUGUGCGCAGGAUAGGUGGGAGGCGUAGAAGGUAUUCUUGUGGGGAUACUGGAGCCAACGGUGAGAUACCACUCUCAGGAGGCUAGAAUUCUAACUUAAUUAAGGACAGUUUCAGGUGGGUAGUUUGACUGGGGCGGUCGCCUCCAAAAAGGUAACGGAGGCGUACAAAGGUUCCCUCAGACUGGUUGGAAAUCAGUCGAAGAGUGCAAAGGCAGAAGGGAGCUUGACUGCGAGAAGUACAGUUCGAGCAGGGUGGAAACACGGUCUUAGUGAUCCGACGGUGCUGUGUGGAAGGGCCGUCGCUCAACGGAUAAAAGUUACUCUAGGAUAACAGGCUGAUCUCCCCCAAGAGUUCACAUCGACGGGGAGGUUUGGCACCUCGAUGUCGGCUCAUCGCAACCUGGGGCGGAAGUACGUCCCAAGGGUUGGGCUGUUCGCCCAUUAAAGCGGUACGUGAGCUGGGUUCAGAACGUCGUGAGACAGUUCGGUCCAUAUCCGAUGUAGGCGUGAGAAUAUUGAGAGGAGCCUUCCUUAGUACGAGAGGACCGGGAAGGACGCACCGCUGGUGUACCUGUUAUGAUGCCAAUUGUAAACGCAGGGUAGCCAAGUGCGGAGAGGAUAACCGCUGAAAGCAUCUAAGUGGGAAGCCCACCUCAAGAUGAGUAUUCUGGUGUAAGGUCACGGGAAGACGACCCGUAAAUAGGCACGAGGUGGAAGUGCAGAGAUGUAUGAAGCCGAAGUGUACUAAUAGACCGUCGGCUUGACC
rnacentral:rRNA from 1 species